rnacentral:rRNA from 1 species
UACAGAGGUCUCAAGCGUUGUUCGGAUUCAUUGGGCGUAAAGGGCGCGUAGGCGGCUUGAUAAGCGUGCGGUGAAAGCCCGGGGCUCAACCCCGGGUCGGCCGUGCGAACUGUCGAGCUGGAGCACUGUAGAGGCAGGUGGAAUUCCGGGUGUAGCGGUGGAAUGCGUAGAGAUGUGGAGGAAUACCGAUGGCGAAGGCAGCCCCCUGGGAUAACACUGACGCUCAUGCACGAAAGCGUGGGGAGCAAACAGG